UACGGAGGGUGCAAGCGUUAUCCGGAUUCACUGGGUUUAAAGGGUGCGUAGGAGGGCAGGUAAGUCAGUGGUGAAAUCUCCAAGCUUAACUUGGAAACUGCCGUUGAUACUAUCUGUCUUGAAUAUUGUGGAGGUGAGCGGAAUAUGUCAUGUAGCGGUGAAAUGCUUAGAUAUGACAUAGAACACCAAUUGCGAAGGCAGCUGGCUACACAUAUAUUGACACUGAGGCACGAAAGCGUGGGGAUCAAACAGG
rnacentral:rRNA from 1 species